CCUACGGGAGGCAGCAGUAGGGAAUCUUCCACAAUGGGCGAAAGCCUGAUGGAGCAACGCCGCGUGGGUGAAGAAGGUCUUCGGAUCGUAAAACCCUGUUGUUAGAGAAGAAAGUGCGUGAGAGUACCUGUUCACGUUUCGACGGUAUCUAACCAGAAAGCCACGGCUAACUACGUGCCAGCAGCCGCGGUAAUACGUAGGUGGCAAGCGUUAUCCGGAUUUAUUGGGCGUAAAGGGAACGCAGGCGGUCUUUUAAGCCUGAUGUGAAAGCCUUCGGCUUAACCGGAGUAGUGCAUUGGAAACUAGGAAACUUGAGUGCAGAAGAGGAGAGUGGAACACCAUGUGUAGCGGUGAAAUGCGUAGAUAUAGGGUAGAACACCAGUGGCGAAAGCGGCUCUCUGGUCUGUAACUGACGCUGAGGUUCGAAAGCGUGGGUAGCAAACAGGAUUAGAUACCCCGGUAGUC
rnacentral:rRNA from 1 species